GGGGGCGUAAAGGUUUCGACGGGGAUGUUGAGAUAGGAUAAGCGGGUAGAGUCCGGGAAAACUCUGAAAUAAGUCCCAAUUAAAAUUAAACGCUAACAAACAAGUAGCAUUGGCAGCCUAACGGCUGUGCCGCGGCCAUUAAUGCCGCCCGUUCCUUCUGCGAGAAUCACGGCGCAGAACCGAGCGUCAAAUUGAGUGAUGAACGUGCGCUUCCCUUUUUCUUUUGAGGAAGCCAGGCAAACAAAAAGAUACCGCGGUGCGGCGUUUGCCGAUUGAUGCCGCACUGCGGGAAAUUCUAACAAUCGUCUGCACCCGGAGAAAGUCCUAUCAACCCAUCUUCGGACAGGGGUUCGACUCCCCUCGCCUCCACCA
rnacentral:tmRNA from 1 species